rnacentral:rRNA from 1 species
GAUGAACGCUAGCUACAGGCUUAACACAUGCAAGUCGAGGGGAAACGAUAUUGGAAGCUUGCUUCCGAUAGGCGUCGACCGGCGCACGGGUGAGUAACGCGUAUCCAACCUGCCCACCACUUGGGGAUAACCUUGCGAAAGUAAGACUAAUACCCAAUGACGUCCAUAGAAGACAUCUGAAAUGGAUUAAAGAUUUAUCGGUGAUGGAUGGGGAUGCGUCUGAUUAGCUUGUUGGCGGGGUAACGGCCCACCAAGGCGACGAUCAGUAGGGGUUCUGAGAGGAAGGUCCCACACAUUGGAACUGAAACACGGUCCAAACUCCUACGGGAGGCAGCAGUGAGGAAUAUUGGUCAAUGGGCGAGAGCCUGAACCAGCCAAGCAGCGUGCAGGAUGACGGCCCUAUGGGUUGUAAACUGCUUUUAUAAGGGAAUAAAGUGAGUCUCGUGAGACUUUUUGCAUGUACCUUAUGAAUAAGGACCGGCUAAUUCCGUGCCAGCAGCCGCCGUAA